rnacentral:lncRNA from 1 species
UUUAAUUCAAAUAUUAUUUCCCUCCAUAUUUUCCAUAUUAUUUCAUAUUAUUUUGUUCAGUUUGAAAUAUUCAUUAAAAAUAGAAAAAUGCUCCAAAUUAACUCCAAUUUUUUUUAUAGUUCUUUUUUAAUGUCUAGUUUUUUUUAGUAUUAUUUUCAUGAUUUGUUGAUGUCUGAUUUUAAUGUGUGAUUUUUUUGAUCCAUGCCAUGCUAUUUUGACAUGUUGCAUUCAAUGCUUUGUGAAAUCCUCAUCCUUGAUCCAAUUGACC